rnacentral:rRNA from 1 species
UACGGAGGGGGCUAGCGUUGCUCGGAAUUACUGGGCGUAAAGCGUACGUAGGCGGCUUUGUAAGUUAGAGGUGAAAGCCCGGGGCUCAACUCCGGAAUUGCCUUUAAGACUGCAUCGCUUGAUCACGGGAGAGGUGAGUGGAAUUCCGAGUGUAGAGGUGAAAUUCGUAGAUAUUCGGAAGAACACCAGUGGCGAAGGCGGCUCACUGGACCGUAGAUGACGCUGAGGUACGAAAGCGUGGGGAGCAAACAGG